rnacentral:rRNA from 1 species
GACGAACGCUGGCGGCGUGCUUAACACAUGCAAGUCGAACGGAAAGGCCCUGCUUUUGUGGGGUGCUCGAGUGGCGAACGGGUGAGUAACACGUGAGUAACCUGCCCUUGACUUUGGGAUAACUUCAGGAAACUGGGGCUAAUACCGGAUAGGAGCUCCUGCUGCAUGGUGGGGGUUGGAGAGUUUCGGCGGUUGGGGAUGGACUCGCGGCUUAUCAGCUGGUUGGUGGGGUAGUGGCUUACCAAGGCUUUGACGGGUAGCCGGCCUGAGAGGGUGACCGGCCACAUUGGGACUGAGAUACGGCCCAGACUCCUACGGGAGGCAGCAGUGGGGAAUAUUGCACAAUGGCCGGAAGCCUGAUGCAGCAACGCCGCGUGCGGGAUGACGGCCUUCGGGUUGUAAACCGCUUUCGCCUGUGACGAAGCGUGAGUGACGGUAAUGGGUAAAGAAGCAACGGCUAACUACGUG